rnacentral:tRNA from 3 species
GGGCGAUUAGCUCAGUUGGAUAGAGCGUUGGCCUCCGGAGCCAAAGGCCGGGCGUUCGAGUCGCCCAUCGCCCGCCA